rnacentral:rRNA from 1 species
CAGGAGCUUGGUAUCACCGCACUGCACAUUUAGCUCCGUGCCACUGGAGGCAACAAGACCAAGACACCAGGUCCUGGAGCUCAGUCUGCUCUCAGGGCUCAUGCUCGUUCUGGGAUGAAAAUUGGGCGUAUUGGUACGCCAUGCUUCUUCUGA